GUUUGACCUCAAAUCAGGUAGGACUACCCGCUGAACUUAAGCAUAUCAAUAAGCGGAGGAAAAGAAACCAACAGGGAUUGCCUCAGUAACGGCGAGUGAAGCGGCAAAAGCUCAAAUUUGAAAUCUAGCACCUUCGGUGUUCGAGUUGUAAUUUGAAGAUGGUAACCUUGGGUUUGGCUCUUGUCUAUGUUCCUUGGAACAGGACGUCAUAGAGGGUGAGAAUCCCGUCUGAUGAGAUGCCCAUUCCUAUGUAAAGUGCUAUCGAAGAGUCGAGUUGUGGGG
rnacentral:rRNA from 1 species